rnacentral:rRNA from 1 species
GAUGAACGCUGGCGGCGUGCCUAAUACAUGCAAGUCGAGCGAACAGACGAGGAGCUUGCUCCUCUGACGUUAGCGGCGGACGGGUGAGUAACACGUGGAUAACCUACCUAUAAGACUGGGAUAACUUCGGGAAACCGGAGCUAAUACCGGAUAAUAUAUUGAACCGCAUGGUUCAAUAGUGAAAGACGGUUUUGCUGUCACUUAUAGAUGGAUCCGCGCCGCAUUAGCUAGUUGGUAAGGUAACGGCUUACCAAGGCAACGAUGCGUAGCCGACCUGAGAGGGUGAUCGGCCACACUGGAACUGAGACACGGUCCAGACUCUUACGGGAGGCAGCAGUAGGGAAUCUUCCGCAAUGGGCGAAAGCCUGACGGAGCCACGCCGCGUGAGUGAUGAAGGUCUUCGGAUCGUAAAACUCUGUUAUUAGGGAAGAACAAAUGUGUAAGUAACUAUGCACGUCUUGACGGUACCUAAUCAGAAAGCCACGGCUAACUACGUG